rnacentral:snoRNA from 1 species
UAGCGUGAUGAUCCACUUUUAUUCACACUGUAUGACUUGUCUGUAUUCAGACAUACAUGAAUAAUCACAAAAAAAAAAACUGAUUUAAUGAGACUGAUA